GCACUAUGCCAGAAUGCACCAACAUAUGCCUAUCAUUAAUGUGCAACUGUAUACAUAACAGAUAUGUCGGGGUUUAAAUUAUUUGCAUCAUGUGAUUGGAGUCUGUCAUCGGGACAUCAAACCCCAGAAUCUAUUGGUUAAUCCCUAGACUCAUCAAUUAAAAGUAUGUGAUUUUGGGAGUGCAA